UUUUCACUACAAAAGCACCCUAGUCAACUUCUCUUGUCAAAAAAGACGCCAAGUGUGAACACAGCCUUACACGUGCUAUUUAAGAGG